UGGCUCAGAACGUACGCUGGCGGCGUGCCUUACACAUGCAAGUCGAGCGGUAACAGGUGUAGCACUACUUGCUCACGAGCGGCAAACGUGCGAGUAAUGCUUGGGAAUCUACCCUCUGGUGGGGAAUAACCAGCUGAAAGGUUGGCUAAUACAGCAUAGCGUCCUACGGGAGAAAGCAGGGGAUCGCAAGACCUUGCGCCGAUGGAUGAGCCGAAGUCGGAUUAGCUAGUUGGUGGGGUAACGGCUCACCAAGGCGAGGAUAAGUAGCUGGUCUGAGAGGACGAUCAGCCUCACUGGGAUUGAGUCACGGCCCAGAGACCUACGGGAGGC
rnacentral:rRNA from 1 species